GUUCCUGUAGCGCUAUGGAUAGCGCGUUGGACUUCUAAUCCAAAAGUCGUGGGUUCAAAUCCCAACUGGAAUG
rnacentral:tRNA from 1 species